rfam:Salmo salar isolate Sally breed double haploid chromosome ssa12, whole genome shotgun sequence.
UGGCUCACUUGGUAGAGCAUGGUGUUUGCAACGCCAGGGUUGUGGGUUCGAUUCCCAC